rnacentral:rRNA from 1 species
GCAUAACGCGAAGAACCUUACCUGGGCUUGACAUGCUGGUCGUAGACUUGUGAAAGCUUGUCGUCACUUCGGGUGGACCAGCACAGGUGCUGCAUGGCUGUCGUCAGCUCGUGUCGUGAGAUGUUGGGUUAAGUCCCGUAACGAGCGCAACCCCUAUGAACUGUUGCCAGCGGAUAAUGCCGGGGACUCUGUUCAGACUGCCCAGAUUAACUGGGGAGGAGGGAGGGGAUGACGUCAAGUCAGUAUGGCCCUUACGCCUUGGGCUGCACACGUACUACAAUGCCCAGCACAAUGAGAACCGAGACCGCGAGGUGGAGGAAAUCUAAAAAACUGGGCCCAGUUCGGAUUGGAGGCUGCAACUCGCCUCCAUGAAGUUGGAAUCGCUAGUAAUGGCGCAUCAUCUACGGCGCCGUGAAUACGUUCCCGGGUCUUGUACACACCG